UUCUCUUUCUGGUUCAGAUCGGUUAAAUAAUAAUUUACAUAUCUUAAGAUUCACCUUUUUUAGAUGUACAGUGCUAUGAGGUUGAUAAAUGUAUACAGUUCUGGAACCAAUACCACAAAUAAGAUAUGGAAUGUUCAUUUCAUCUCAAAAAAUUUGUUCAUGUGGAUUUGUAUGGUUCUCCUCACAAUCACUGAUCUCGUUUCUGUCCCAUUAUUUUUUCAGAAUGUCAUAUCAAUGCAAUGAGACAGUAGAGAGUCUUUUCUUGUAUAGCUUCUUUCACAAGAAUACUGUCUUGGGAUUUAUCCACAUAAUUAAAUCUAUCAGAAGUGUGUUUCUUUUUAUCACUGAUAAAUAUUUCAUCUUAUGGAAAUACAAGUAUUUUUAGGUAUUCAUCACUUGAUAUGUACUUAAUUUAUUUUCAUGUUUUUGGCAAUGUAUUUAUCAGGAUCCCAUCAGAAGAGAUGGAGUUUCAAUAACUGAAUAACAGAUUUCAGAAAAAUUAUGAAAAAAAAUUAUAGACAUGUUAAUAUAAAAAGUAUAAUUUUAGUGCAUCGGUUUCUAGUUCAAGGGGUCAUAAAAUCUCAACCAGAUUUUAAUAAACUAUGAUAACAGCCUUCAGAUGGAAAGCAGGUCACAUAAAAAAAAACUGGGAAUUAGAAUGGCAUGGUAAUUCUCACAGGAAGCACUAACUACAGAGUCUGAGUAAAAAUAUUUUUCACCCAUCCUAUACUCAUACAUCUUAGAAAAUACAGCAUCAUAAAUGGAAUAUUGGUAGAAAUACGAGCAUUAAAGGCAUGCCUAGUGAGGGUUCAUAAAGAAAUGAGGAAAAUGCUUAUUAGAAAGUGGAGGAAAAGUAAUCGUUAUUAUGUAGUAGCAGAAAGCUUGGCGGAAUUGUGUCCUACAGUUAGUUAUGUGGAAAGCAGAACCUAUAGGAAAUGAACUUUAAUAUCUAGCUGAGGGGAUUUCCAAGCAAUGUGCUGAAGGUAGAGCCUUGUUUCUUCCCAUUGCUUACAGUGAAAUGUGAGAAAAGAGAGAGAUUGACGGAAGCGGUGUUAGGAAAAAGGGAAACAGGACCUGAUGACUUGGGAAAUUCUCAGCCAAUCCAGAUUGCAAAGGCACUAAAAUUAGGAGAUUCAUAAUCAAGAAAGCCUGUUCUGGACAGAAAGCCAAGGUGUGGCUGGACAACCUUUUGCUAGUACUUUGGAAGGAUCAAAGGAUCAGAGUAUUCAAUUACACACAUGGCCUUUUGAAAGGAUUAGAGCAGUGAAUCAUGGUUCCCCUCAGCCCUCCAAGCAGAAGCCAGGAAUAGAGAUGGUAUUAUAAAAAAAAGAUUUGUGGAUGAGCCUCUUGUCUAGUGGAGAGAAUCCCUGAAACAUACAGGGAAUAUUUGCAAGAUUCUUAAGAAUGUUGUGCCAACAGACAUACUCAAUGUCAGCUUGAACUAAAAGGGAGACAGAACAAAAGGAGGGAAGGCUAUUGAAUUCUCCAAAUUCUACAUGUAGAAAACAAAUUGAUAAAACUACUCAGCUGCAAACAUGUAGAGUCUCUACAAUAGCAGCAGAGCCAGGAAACACAGAGAAUGAUUCUCAAGCUUUGAAACCUAAUGUUGAAUGCAAAAACAGAUUUUGAAAUUGCUCACCUCUGGUGAUUCCUUUUGUGAACUGGAUAUCUAUUAGUGUUAUCUGAUCCCUAUCUCACCAUAGUAUUUUAGGAGGCAAUAUCAUGUUUUAUAGUUUCACAGAUCUCCCAACGGAGAAUAAUUUUGCCCCAGAGUGGAUAAUAGUGAACGCCCUAACCAUGACUAAUUUAGAUAAAUUAGAUUACAAGAUUUGGGCCUUCCAUGAUAAUGAGACCUAUAUCCUAAUUUCUGGAACCUGUGAAUAUGUUGUGUGUAAAGUACGAGACUCUGGGGAUAUUAAGUUAAGGAUCUGGAGAUGGAGAGAUUAUUCUGGAUUAUUUGGGUAGACCCAAUGUAAUCAUGAAGGUCCUACAAAAGGGAGGCAGGGGUGUAAGAAUCAGAAAAGACCAUGUGAUUGAAGAUUGGAACUGAAAGAGAGAGAGUGAUUAGCAGAUAUUUGCUGUUGGCUUUGAAGAUAUAAGAUAGGCCACUUCUACAAGUCAAGGAUGCAGAAAGUAUCUAGAAGCUAGAAAAGGCAAGGAAACAAAUUUUUCUGUAAAACCUUUAAAAGGAAUGCAGUUCUAUUGAUCAAUUUUAGACUUCUAACCUCCAGAACUGCAUGAUAAUGCAUUUGUAUUAUUUUAAGACGUUAAGUUGUGGCUUCCCCUUCCUAACUCCACCCGUACUACCACAGCCACCUUGUCCCUCUCCCAUUCUCCUACCUUAGGGUAGAAGGAAUAGAGGAAAAAUAAACAGAAACCAGAAAUUGUAAUGCAAUAUGAAAGAUGUGUUUUAUGGAGUUUUCAGAAACUUGAAACAAUUCAAUAGAGGGGUUUAUCAGAGUUCUUAGAUUGGGGCCCCAUUGGUGUCUUUCCUUCAUAGGAUAGAUGUAAACAGGGUGGACACUGGACCACACGGCAGUGUAUUAAACUGGUGAGUGUCGUUCGGGGGCUCUAUGUCCCAUUCUGCAAUGUAAGGAACCGCCAUGUAAGUAGAAGGUUAAGUAAUGCUGUCGGGUUUACCAGUCUGGCUAAAAGUCACAGUAGGAGAUCCAGACACAGGUAUCCUUCUGGAAAAUACUUGAAGAGGAGGCUUUCUCAAAGCAAAAGUCUCCAGGCCAAUACAAAGAAAUUUGUAUUGUUUUAAAUCAUCAACUUUGUGGUAAUAUUUUACAAUAGCAGUAGGGUGCUAAUAUAUCAUCCAUACUAUUAAUCAAGGGUGAAAGCAACAUAAAAUUACCCUCAGAUAUAGCUAGAUCCCAAAAUUCAUUUUAUGUACUCUUUUUCUAGGAGGAUCUUGAAGGACGUGUCUUCCAAACAGAGUAUAGUUCCAAAGAAGACAUGGUAUCCCAGCAACCAAAUGUACAACACAGGAGACAGAUGAAUUUCUCAUUCUUGUAGGCUACCAUUUCUUUUGGCUUAUUACAAAACAACAGGAUGCUGCAGCUUUAUCAAAGUCUACUUAUUUGUCCACUAAAAGUUUAUGGCUAUACGUUUCCAACUAGAACAUCUGAACACCAAUAUAUGGAAUUCUGACAAAGUUAAAACCAGGAAGAGAUCCUAUGAAGGCUGACAUUUUGUACAUCUGUUUUAUAGAACAAUAAAAAUAAGAAGAACAAGAAUAAGAACAGCAACAACAUUUGCAGCCACUGUCUAGACCACAGGAAACCUGGUCAACAACAUAUGGGAUGUCACCAGAUUCAGACUCAGAAGUUUCCAUAAUGCCGUUGCCAACAGCUAGACACAAUGAAGAAACGGCUAUAUAGAGAGAUAAAGAAGCUUGCUCAAGGAUACACAGCCAGAAAGCAAAAGAGUUGGAGUUUGAACUUCGACAGUCUAACUCGAGGUUCUUUCUCUGUGUUUAAUCAGUCAACCACACUGCCUCUUCAGAAGCACGCAUAAUGUAUGCUCUAAAAAGUAAUGUCAAUGUAUUAGGUGUCAAACAGUAAAUGAAAUUUCUCAGAAUACUGCUCUCUACCAUAUCAAUAGUAGAUUUAAUACAACCACCAGGCAAAUCAAGCUAAGAAACUCAGCCCUGGAGAUCAGACCAAACUGGUGGCCAGCCAAGAAAUAGACAAAGGAAUGUUCAGGGGCAGAGUUUAGGGAGGUUGGAGUGUGUGUUCACAGGGGCAGAGGGAGUAAGGGGUGAUGUGCGGUCAAGGUUUACAGGUUAGGGCAUGGAUCAUAGAGGUGAUACCAGGGAAGGGAGUACAGGAAAUAAUCCCAUCCAAGUAAGAAAUCAUCAGAUGCAUGGUUCCGUUUUUAAGCUGCCAAAAUUAAGAAGGUGGGCAUGAAUUUGCACAGGACUGUGGAAAACAGAAGUUUCUGGGUCUGGCUUGGGAUUUUACACAGCUGCAUUAUGGGGGUAUCACUAUAUGAUUUCUAAGCAAAGAUCUCUUGGUUUGAGAAGCUUUCAUGGACAGAGAGACUGCUCAUAUCCCCAGAAUGGGGCAGGGAUAAAUGGGAGAGAGAUGGCAGAGAAGUUAUCACUAAUGAAGCGUCCCAGGUAUUCUGUUGUAUGUCUAGAGGUGAAAAUAGAAAGCUCUGCUCCUUAAAAGCUAUGAGAACUUAAGAAAGUUCAUGACCAUUUGUAAGCUAGGGUUAUUAAGAGGGUCUGUUUUAUAUGGAUCAAUUAAGUAACAAACACCUUUUGAAAUAUAAGUUGAACACAGCUUUUUUAGAAAUUUGUAAACUUUAUUUUGAUAAGCCAAAACACAUAUAAAUAUUCAUAUUCCUCUCCUCACAUUUUUAUAAGAAUUCAAGCUAGAAAAAAUUAACUAUGUUGAUAGGCUUAGAGAAAAAUUAGGUGUCAGUGUCCCACAGAAUUCUCUCCGUCUAUUAGUUACAAUGAAUCUUAACAGUUUAUUUUUUAAUAAGUGGAAUAUGUUAAUCAAUUAACUGAGCUAAAGCUAUUACCUAAUGAGGUAGAAGGGUAAAUUAACUGAAAUGUGACUGGCAUUCUUCAAUAUAAGAAAGACACUAUUAGCCUGGGAAUCACGUGGAUAUUCUGUGGAUUCACAGACACAUUAGUCCAUGUGCCUUCAGUACAGCUUUACAUGCAGCUUGUUCUAAAAUCUCAAGUUAGCAAGUUUCUGUAUUCCUAAAAGGUAAUAAUUAGAACCAGAGUAUCUGGGGAAGUCGCCACACAGCAAUAAAUAUUGGGUCUCUAGAGCCAAGUCUUAACAUUUUGUUUUCUUAAUAGCUUAAAUUAUUUAUGAACAUGUGUUUGAACAAUUCUUAAAUCCAGUAGCUAAAUUGAGUUGCAUAUAGGCCUAGAAGGGUCUAGGCUAGGGCCGUUCUGUGGAAAAUCUGUUAAGUCAGGAAGCAGAAAUAAUUCUGCUUAAUCUUUGAUUGUCAACCAUAGUGGGGGAUGGUAAGAAUAAUGGGAGACUUUAUAUAAAGGCAGCUGCUUAUAAUUGAGGCAUUGUCAGCUGACCACAAACAUUUGUUUCCACUGAGAUAUUCCUAAUGAGUGCUACUGUUGAAGGCAAUGCAUUAAUAUUUAUGUGAUUAUUGUUUUAUAUCUAAGAAGGGAUCAAGAGGGUAAUCAAAUAUUCAUGUUACCAGGCAAGCAAUGGGCUCACUGCCUGAUGAGCAUAGAAAUCAAUACCAUGGCACCAGCUUUUGAGAAAAUAAAAGCUUUAUUGCAAGUGAUUGGCAAGGAGACAAGAGGCAACACAAAUAUGUCUCCCAGUGCUGGGGGCUGGGGCAAAUUUUAUAGGCAGAGGGUAAUGAUAUGAUUGGAUCUGGCAAUGAGAAAUGCUGUGAGGCAUGAUCGGACUGGAUUGUGCCAUGAAAUGAUGCCAGGGCUUGAUCUGAUUGGAUCGUAUAUCAAGACAUGAGGUGUCCACUUAUUAAUUCAGUCCCCCAUUUCUUGGUCUGAGCACUUAGGUUCCACCCAUGCUUGCAGGCUUAGAUAAUCUGGACAUGCUCAGGUUGCAUAACUUGCAACCUAGGGAAUCCAUGGCAACUGAAAACUCACCAUUUUAUUACACAAAGUUGAGUCAGAUUAGGCUGGUUCUGUGGUUACAAUAAUCUACCACAGAGUUUUUUAAGAUUUAACUUCAAAUAUCCUGCAUCAGAACCAUCUGGAAAACUUGAGAAUCAUCGCAGAAUGUACAAAAUGUUUGCUAGUGUAGCCCGGUAAUAUUCAUGUUUUAUUCUUUCUGGGCCUCUGCCAAUGCUUUCUGAGAAUAUUCCUGAGAAUCAUCCACUUUGUAGCUACUCAUAAAUAUGAUGUUUGGUGACAGAUCGCCUUCACUUCCCCAGUACUUCCAACACUUGUGAGUGCCUUUACUUCACUGUAUUAUAUCUCUUCCUACUCAAAAUACACAGAAUGCCUUCUGCUUUCCAGACUGAAUCCAAACUGAUAUGCUCAGGUGAUAGAGAAAAGACACUGAAAUUAAAAAUGUGACUUCCGUUUUACUAUUGCUAAUAAUGAAGCGUCCUUUUACUCUUUUAUAGUAGGUGAUCUCCCACCAGAGUGUACCAACAAGUGGAUCGGUCAAGAUAAAUCAUUACAGUGUGUCGAGAAACUAUUAGAACACCUAUUUAAAGGCAGUCUUAAUUUUUCUUAAGUUCUAAAAGCAUAAAUGAAUGUCAAUAUUUAUAUGUGUAAGCUGUUAAAAAUUACAACAAAUACUCUAAUGCUUAUCAACAACCCUGGUAACUAAAACAUCAGCAAUAUUUCUGAGUUUCUCUUCAAAUUCAUCUUCUCUUUUCUGCUGUUUGUCUCUUUCCCAAAGUAUACAUUGGUAAUAAAACUGAAAUUUUGGUCUUCAUUUCUUUACUCCAUUUGCAACUUGCUUUUAUAUUAACUAACACAAGGAUUUUCAGAUUUAAUUUAUGUAACUUCUCUAGUAGCUACAGUUCACCCUUUUUUACUACAGAAAAGUUUUGUAUUAUGAGAAUGUAACACAAUAUGUUAAUUUAUUUUUCUCCCUGUAAUUAUUAUGAUUCUUUUUUCGGUACUUUUGUUCGUUCGUUUGUCUCAUUUGUUUUGCCAGUAUACACAGUGCCACUGUUAUAAGCAUUCAAUAUUUGUUAUGUAACUACUGGCAAACAUAGGUCAAUGUUUCCAUAUAUAUUCUCUCAGGAGAUUUCUGUCUUGUUGGGUCUUCACAUUCUCAGCUUCAUUAGAUAAUGCCAAAUUGCUUUUCAAAAUAUUCCCACUAGUGUAGAGUCUAUCGGGUUUGUAUGAGUUCCCGUUAUUCUACAUCCUUGCCAAAGCUUCAUGUUUUGGGACUUGUUAAUUUUUGCCAAUCUGGUGGGUGUAAAAUGGUAUCUCAUUGUGGCUUUAAUUGGAAUUUCCCUGAUUACAAAAGCGGUUAAACUCCUUUUACAGAAUUAAGAGCUAUUCAUCAAAAUGCCCGUUUGUGCAUAUUGCCAAUUAGUAUGCUGAGUUAUUUAUCUUUUUCUUACUAAUUUGUGGGAGGUUUUCAUAUGUUCUGGAGAGUAAUCCUUUGUUCAUUACACAUUUGUUGAACCAGUCUGCAUUGUUUCUCUUUGCAUUUUUUGUAUUUAUUGCUACACAGAAAUUAUUAACUUUUUUCUCA
rnacentral:lncRNA from 1 species